CUUACCCGGGAGAGGAAGAGGAACGACCUCUAUUGAAUCAGCCCCAGAGCGCUCCCAUCCUGGGCCGGACCCACAGGAUCUCUUUGUGCCAGAAAUUGGCUAGUUUUUGCCUCCUUUAUUAUUUCCUGCCACCUGUCUCUCUGUGUCUUGUUUCAGCUGUGAGGUCAGCAACAAACCCUUCGCUCAUUAUCUUGCCCGUCAGACUUGCGCAUAUGCUCACGAAAGCCGGCAAUAAUCCACAUUCAGUCCCCUGUCCUUCUUUUCUAAAUCUUGCCUCACACACUCACACACAUGCUGUCACCUCUCCGUCACCCGGGAGGACCCCUUAUAUAAAGCGCUGUCUCCCCUCUAGUUGUUACUGCCUUUGUUUCCAUCAUCAGUCAAACAUCCGUCUCUUGUGCUGCAGUGUCGCCAUGUCUGACUUUGAAGAUCGUGGAGGCCAUCAAGAGGGUAAGGACAUUCACUCCUUCAUUAAAUAAAC
rnacentral:lncRNA from 1 species